rnacentral:rRNA from 1 species
AGAUUGAACGCUGGCGGCAGGCCUAACACAUGCAAGUCGAGCGGCAGCACGGGUACUUGUACCUGGUGGCGAGCGGCGGACGGGUGAGUAAUGCCUAGGAAUCUGCCUGGUAGUGGGGGAUAACGCUCGGAAACGGACGCUAAUACCGCAUACGUCCUACGGGAGAAAGCAGGGGACCUUCGGGCCUUGCGCUAUCAGAUGAGCCUAGGUCGGAUUAGCUAGUUGGUGGGGUAAUGGCUCACCAAGGCGACGAUCCGUAACUGGUCUGAGAGGAUGAUCAGUCACACUGGAACUGAGACACGGU